UUUUACGACUGUCUAGCUAUAUUGGAUUUUUUUGCGUUUUAUCUCCAACUUCAAGAAUUUCUCUUGAAAGGAAAAAUUCCUGAUAAUUCUGCACAUCGUCGGAAGGUGAGAUGCGCGUCUACAAAUGUAAUCAUCAAAGAUGACAGACUCUUCUACGUCGGCCCCAGUAGGCAGUACAUGCGGCUAGUUGUCCUGUCAGAGGAAGAGAAGAGAUCUGUUCUUUUCGGAGUUUCAUAUUAACAAUGGGACUGGAAAUCACAGUGGCACAGUGGAAAUCACAGUGUCCCACAAUGAGACUGGAACUCACUGAGUUAUUGCUGGUUACUAUUGGCCUACAAUUAUCCAGGAUGUGAAAGAAUGGGUAAAAGAAGCUUGGGAAGUGCUUGGGUUGGAUUUGAUUGGACCACUGCAAGAAACAGCAACAAGUAUGUCCUUAUGAUGACCAUGCAAUCUAAGACAGCAGCUGAGGUGCGGCAAUAAUGACCACAAAGUUGUACCUGUUCGACAUGGGUAGGAAAAUCAUGGGAGACCAAGGGAAGGAGGUUGUUUCCAAGGUGAAGUUUUGGAAGGGUUUAAUGAUGUUUUUUCCCUCUACUCUAGUCUCAACAUAUAUCUCUUGUUGUCUUAUGAUUAUUCAUCAACUUUAUAAAUACACUGAUAAUUACAGGAUGAAAGAAACAAUCAGAAUAUCAAGCGUACUCUCAGGAAGUUUGUGAAUGACCACCUUAACGACUGGGAUCUCCAACUUCCUGCUGUGGAAGCAGGUUUUGUCUUAACACAUUUAUUAUAUAUCUAGCAAGUUGUCAAUGGUAAAACUGAAUUGGUGAAUUUAUUUAAUAUUUAAUGUCAAGUGUGGAGUUUUUCCCUUUAACACAAAUUUAAUAGUUGAUGGGAAGCUUCCUAUGAAAUCAAUAUUCCACUAGACACAGUUCCUACUUCCUCCUCUUCCAUCGACACCCACAUCUGCCAGAGGUCUACAGAUUAAAAAAUGGACCAAACGAGAGGAUGUUUCUUCAGGACCACUGUUAAUCAACUUUCAAAUGGCAGAUCGAGCAUCCAAUAGAUGAAUGAGUAAGUGAGUGAAGGACUGAGGGAGGGACAGAUGACUGAGGUAAGAAGUGAAAGAACGAAGAAUGGAGGUAAUGAAUUAAUUAAUGAAUAAUUAAAUUAAAUGAAUAAAUAAAUUAAAUGAAUAAAUAAAUAUCUUGUUUGUUUCUUAAAUGAAGUCGUUUGUUAAA